CCAGCAUACCUGAUUCUCAUCGUCAAUUUCAUUUCUUCUAUUGUGUCUUUCCACAGAGGCUGUUCUGUAGGAAACUGUUCCACUCUCCUUUUCCAGCAGAGGAGACAGGUCACCAAACAAGAUUCUACCAACAAAAAGGUGUUGGUUUCUUUUCCCAUCUCUCAUCUUCUUUUUCCCAAGGACCUUCAGUUGCCAUUUCUACUUUUUUAAUUUUUGUUUUUGGCAUGAUUCAUCAGAGGCCAAAACGAGAGUGAAAAUGUGUUUCAAAACAGCCCAGACAGUGGAUUUGUAAAGGCAUAGCUUUGUUUCUUUCAAAGCACAGUUCAUUUUUUUCUAAAGGGUGAUCUGUGCAGCACACUCCUCCCAGAGGAUAAUAGAAAUGGAAGAUGACUGGGGAUUGUUCCUGGCUCUUUUCCAAGAAGUACUUUGCUUCAUUUGGCUGCCUUCUUGAGAGCUGGAUAAAGAUAGUAUGCAGAGACAGAAAUCACAAAGAUAUCCCUGCCUAUCCAGCUGUGCCCUGGAGUGAUUUCUACGUGCAGGGAGCUCCUUUCUCCGAUCAGUUGCAUUCCCAAAUGACUUUUUCUAGCAUGGCAGGAGGGCAGUACUUCACAGAGCCGUAUCUCCCUCAAGUGCCGAACAGAACAGUACUGGAAUUCAUGCCACAGACUGGAAGACAAAAGGGAGUGACACCACCAGAGCCAAGUUCCUACCAGAGCUACCAAACAGAGGCAGAGUUGGCAGCACUCGCUGAAAAAGAGGACUUAGAGAGGAGCGGCAAGAAAGGAGAGACUGAAACUGAAGAAGAAACUUAUGACUGAAGCGGCACUCUGAGAAAAAAAGGAAGAGGAAAAAUUGCUAUUUUAAACUCUGCAAAACAAGAGUCAAAAAGAGACAAGGAUAUUAUUAUUUGCAACAGAUGCACUUUUUAAUUUAUUUUUUUGGUUGUAUUUUUUUUUUCUUGUUGCCAUGAUUAUUUUCUUGCUGAAGAAAGAAGCAGGGGUAUUUCACUCAAUCAGAGUUCCUGCCCUGUCUUUUUUUUUUUUUUUUUUUUUUUUUUUUUUUUUUUUUUUUUUUUUUUGCAAAUCUCCUGGCUUUAUUCUUCUUAACAAAUUCUAAUAAAUUCUAAUCUUGACCAGCCCUCA
rnacentral:lncRNA from 1 species